rnacentral:rRNA from 1 species
AGUGAACGCUGGCGGUAGGCCUAACACAUGCAAGUCGAACGGCAGCACAGUAAGAGCUUGCUCUUACGGGUGGCGAGUGGCGGACGGGUGAGGAAUACAUCGGAAUCUACUUUUUCGUGGGGGAUAACGUAGGGAAACUUACGCUAAUACCGCAUACGACCUACGGGUGAAAGCAGGGGAUCUUCGGACCUUGCGCGAUUGAAUGAGCCGAUGUCGGAUUAGCUAGUUGGCGGGGUAAAGGCCCACCAAGGCGACGAUCCGUAGCUGGUCGGAGAGGAUGAACGGCCACAGUGGGACUGAGAUACGGCCCAGACGGCUACGGGAGGCAGAAGUGGGGAAUAGUGCACAAUGGGCGCAAGCCUGACGCAGCGACGCCGCGUGGGGGAUGACGGCCUACGGGUUGUAAACACCUUUCGCCAGGGACGAAGCGCAAGUGACGGGACCUGCAGAAGAGGCACCGGCUAACUACGUG